GAUAAAUAGACUUCUUAGAAGGUCGGCACAAGGUCUGACCCACCCCACUGCCCCAGCCUGGGUUCCGGGAAACCCCUUCCUGCCCCCCUGUCUCAGGGUCUCUGAACACCCAGCUCUCCUGAGCACACGCUGUGUGCCAUCCUGGCUUUCAAGGCCCAGCUCAGGCACCUCACCAGCACCCUUUCCCCAGCCGGAAGCCCUCACACUGUCCCUCCAGCUCCCACGGGCCCGUCCAAGCUUUCUGCUGUGGCACAGGGAGAAGAGCAUGGGACAGAAAUCUGAAGAUCUGAGUCUGAUCCUGGCUGUCUCUCCAGCUGGCUUUUCGUCGUGGCUGACAAAUUCCUCCUCGAAGAGCCAACCCAAAUGCUGUCUCCUCUGACGCCUCUCGCUCUCCUCUGCGAGCCGGCCUUCCCCCGAACCCCAGCGACUCCGGGGUGCUAUCUCAAUGAUCCCAGAAGCAACAGCAUUUUGUCUCCUCCACCAGACUGUGGGUCCCGGGGAGCACAUCGCCUCCUCCUCCUCCUCCUCCUCAUCGCUGACACCCCAGUGCACUGCCAGCUGUUUGCAGACAAGAGAAGGUGUCUGUACCUGUGCUGUCCCACACCGUAGCCACCAACCCUGUGUGGUUGUUUCCAUUUAAAUCGGUGAAGAUGGGGGCGCCUGGAUGGCUCAGUCGGUUGAGCGUCCAACUUCAGCUCAGGUCA